rnacentral:rRNA from 1 species
UACGGAGGGGGCUAGCGUUGUUCGGAAUUACUGGGCGUAAAGCGCACGCAGGUGGCUGAGUCAGUCGAUUGUGAAAGCCCUGGGCUUAACCUGGGAAUUGCAGUCGAUACUACUCAGCUAGAGUAUGGGAGAGGGCAGUGGAAUUCCCGGUGUAGCGGUGAAAUGCGUAGAUAUCGGGAGGAACAUCAGUGGCGAAGGCGGCUGCCUGGCCCAAUACUGACACUCAGGUGCGACAGCGUGGGGAGCAAACAGG